rnacentral:lncRNA from 1 species
CCGACUUUCGGGUUUUCUUGCCUUUUUUCUCUCAGAGUUGAGCCCCUACCCGGGCCCUUUAGUCCCUCGGUCACGAGGAACGGUGGAGUUUAGAACCUGCGAUGGAACUUACCAGAGACCAGAUAGCUAGAGAAUGGCUGAACUGGGUUUUGAAUCUAGUCAAUCUUGACCCCAGAGCUCUCCAGCCUAAAGGAGAGAACUCAGCUGAACACCUACUUCCUUCCCUACCAACUCAGCAGUUCUCAGAAAGGAAAUGGCAACCAUAUGCUUUCUCAUUAACCAAAACAAAAGGCAGCCUUGAGAAACAAGAUGUUCUGGACAAUACAGAAACCCUUCGGCCCAGGCUAGUUGGUUUCAGCUACCGCUAA